rnacentral:rRNA from 1 species
GACGAACGCUGGCGGCGUGCUUAACACAUGCAAGUCGAACGGAAAGGCCCUGCUUUUGUGGGGUGCUCGAGUGGCGAACGGGUGAGUAACACGUGAGUAACCUGCCCUUGACUUUGGGAUAACUUCAGGAAACUGGGGCUAAUACCGGAUAGGAGCUCCUGCUGCAUGGUGGGGGUUGGAAAGUUUCGGCGGUUGGGGAUGGACUCGCGGGUUAUCAGCUUGUUGGUGGGGUAGUGGCUUACCAAGGCUUUGACGGGUAGCCGGCCUGAGAGGGUGACCGGCCACAUUGGGACUGAGAUACGGCCCAGACUCCUACGGGAGGCAGAAGUGGGGACUAUUGCACAAUGGGCGGAAGCCUGAUGCAGCAACGCCGCGUGCGGGAUGACGGCCUUCGGGUUGUAAACCGCUUUCGCCUGUGACGAAGCGUGAGUGACGGUAAUGGGUAAAGAAGCACCGGCUAACUACGUG